CAACACAGCUGUUUAAAACCCCAGUGAAAGCUGGAAUACUGCACUGGAGAAUCAUGUAGUAUGAACAGAAUUCUGUGCCGAUGGACCCCCGAGUGCCAAAAACAAAAGUGAAGAAAAUGACUUGCUGACAGCAAUGCAAAGUUUCGAGCUGUGCAGGAGCCCGGCUGUGAUGGGUGGGCGGAUAUACAGCUCCGGACUGACUGGUUCCAGCUGGAGGACCUGCUCAUUAAAUGAAGUCUAGAGCGUCGUCUGUGAGAGGUUCUCAUGCUUCUCACAACACCCGAGCAGUACGCCUGUGACAGUCACUCGCUUCGGUUCCCUGCAGAAGUUAAGGAAGUAGAGUGGGUAGCGGGGAGCUGCUGUUUCAUUUGAUCACUUGUUUUCUCCUGUUUUGUA
ensembl:lncRNA